UGCUAUGAUGAAACACUAUGUCAAAAAGC
rnacentral:piRNA from 1 species